AUGUCCAAGUCGGGAGCCCUGGAUCUCGCGUCGGGCCUUGGCGGGAAGAUCGACAAGGAACAAGUCAAAUCCGCGGUCGAUGAGUAUGAGAAAUAUCAUGGAUAUUACGGAGGGAAGGAGGAAUCGAGGAAAUCCAACUACACCGAUAUGGUUAAUAAAUACUAUGAUCUUGCUACUAGCUUCUAUGAGUAUGGCUGGGGUGAGUCCUUCCACUUUGCUCACAGGUGGAAUGGAGAAUCUUUAAGGGAAAGCAUCAAACGGCACGAGCACUUUCUGGCUUUACAGCUUGAGUUGAAACCAGGGAUGAAGGUUUUGGAUGUCGGCUGUGGAAUAGGCGGGCCAUUAAGAGAAAUUGCGAGAUUUAGCUCCACCUCAGUUACUGGAUUGAACAACAACGACUACCAGAUAACUAGGGGAAAGGCGCUUAAUCGGUCGGUAGGACUUGGCGCAACUUGUGAUUUUGUCAAGGCAGACUUCAUGAAGAUGCCAUUCUCUGAUAACACUUUUGAUGCUGUUUAUGCCAUCGAGGCAACAUGCCACGCACCUGAUCCGGUUGGCUGCUACAAGGAGAUCUACCGUGUAUUAAAACCCGGGCAGUGUUUUGCUGUAUAUGAGUGGUGCAUUACCGAUCACUAUGAUCCAAACAAUGCAACCCACAAGAGGAUUAAGGAUGAAAUUGAGCUUGGGAAUGGUCUGCCAGAUAUCAGAAGUACUCGGCAAUGUCUUCAAGCUGUUAAAGAUGCUGGGUUUGAGGUUAUUUGGGACAAGGAUCUUGCUGAAGAUUCUCCGUUGCCUUGGUACUUGCCCUUGGACCCAAGUCGGUUUUCAUUGAGUAGUUUCCGGUUGACUACCGUGGGACGAAUAAUUACUCGCAAUAUGGUCAAGGUAUUGGAAUAUGUUGGUCUGGCUCCGGAAGGCAGCCAGAGGGUCUCUAGUUUCUUAGAGAAGGCCGCGGAAGGUCUUGUCGAAGGUGGCAAGAAGGAGAUCUUCACUCCGAUGUACUUCUUUGUGGUUCGGAAGCCUCUUUCAGAAUGA
rnacentral:rRNA from 1 species